GAGUAUUUUUAAUGAUUAAAAUUGAUAUGAAGAAAGCAUAUGAUCGGGUGUAAUGGGCUUUUCUUUUUAAGGUUCUUAAAUAAUUUAAUUUUCUUGAUCACUUUAUUCAUUGGAUAGCAGCUUGUGUGAUGAACCUCCAAUAUGCUUUACUUGUUAAUGGCUCCACCACAGAUUGAUUUUCAGCUUUAUAAGAUCUUCGACAGGACUAUUUAUUAUCUCCCUUUCUUUUUUUACUUUGCUUAGAAAUAUUUUCUCUUUCUUUGCA
rnacentral:lncRNA from 1 species